CUAUUAGAACAAGUUCCAUUUGAUUCAGAAAAGCCCAACGUACCACAGUUAAAAGUGCUUGGUGAAGAUAAGAUCAACAAUAUGUAUGCUGCAAGAUCUACCAAGGCAGCGAUACUGUCACCUUCGGAAGAAGCUGCUACAGUGUUUUGGAUAUGUCAGAAAACAAAAAUUGUUAAUUUCCAUUGAAAUUGUGAUUCCAGUCUUUCUUGCAUCUAUUUUCAAGUGAACUGAGUCUCCAUUGGAUAAAUUGGAAAACAAUGUGUUACAGGAAACAGACACAAGUACCUUAAAUCCAGAAUCAUUGGUUGAU
rnacentral:lncRNA from 1 species